rnacentral:rRNA from 1 species
UUGACCUCAAAUCAGGUAGGAUUACCCGCUGAACUUAAGCAUAUCAAUAAGCGGAGGAAAAGAAACCAACAGGGAUUACCUUAGUAACGGCGAGUGAAGCGGUAAAAGCUCAAAUUUGAAAUCUAGCACUUUCAGUGUUCGAGUUGUAAUUUGAAGAAGGUAUCUUUGGAGUUGGCCCCCGUCUAUGUUCCUUGGAACAGGACGUCACAGAGGGUGAGAAUCCCGUGCGAUGGGGAGACCAAUUCUAUGUAAAGUUCCUUCGAAGAGUCGAGUUGUUUGGGAAUGCAGCUCUAAGUGGGUGGUAAAUUCCAUCUAAAGCUAAAUAUUGGCGAGAGACCGAUAGCGAACAAGUACAGUGAUGGAAAGAUGAAAAGAACUUUGAAAAGAGAGUGAAAAAGUACGUGAAAUUGUUGAAAGGGAAGGGCUUUUGAUCAGACUUGGUGUUUAGUACUCUCUACUCCUUGUGGGUGGAGCUCUUGCUUUAUACUGGGCCAGCAUCGGUUUGGAUGGUAGGAUAAUAGCAUUGGAAUGUGGCUUCAUUCGUGAAGUGUUAUAGCCCUUGUUGAUACUACCUAUCUAGACCGAGGACUGCGUCUUUUGACUAGGAUGCUGGCGUAAUGAUUAAAAGCCGC